rnacentral:rRNA from 1 species
CUCCCGUUGAUCCCGCCGGACCUGACUGCUAUCGGAUUGGUACUAAGCCAUGCGAGUCAUUGUAGCAAUACAAGGCGGACGGCUCAGUAACACGUAGUCAACCUAACUCGUGGACGUGGAUAACCUCGGGAAACUGAGAAUAAACCACGAUAGACCAUAGUGCCUGGAAUGGCUUAUGGUCCAAACAGUUUACUGCCAUGGGAUGGGACUGCGGCCUAUCAGCUUGUUGGUGAGGUAAUGGCCACCAAGGCGAUUACAGGUACGGGCUCUGAGAGGAGAAGCCCGGAGAUGGGUACUGAGACACGGACCCAGGCCCUAUGGGGCGCAGCAGGCGAGAAACCUUAGCAAUGUGCGAAAGCACGACUGGGUCAGUCCGAGUGAUUCCUGAUAAAGGAGUCUUUUGCUUGUCCUAAAAGCACAGGUGAAUAAGGGGUGGGCAAGUCUGGUGUCAGCCGCCGCGGUAAUACCAGCACCUCGAGUGGUCAGGACGUUUAUUGGGCCUAAAGCAUCCGUAGCCGGCUUUGCAAGUCUUCGGUUAAAUCCACCUGCUCAACAGAUGGGCUGCGGAGGAUACUACAGGACUAGGAGGCGGGAGAGGCAAGCGGUACUCAGUGGGUAGGGGUAAAAUCCUUUGAUCCAUUGAAGACCACCAGUGGCGAAGGCGGCUUGCCAGAACGCGCUCGACGGUGAGGGAUGAAAGCUGGGGGAGCAAACCGGAUUAGAUACCCGGGUAGUCCCAGCUGUAAACGAUGCAGACUCGGUGAUGGGCUAGCCUUGUGCCAGCCCAGUGCCGCAGGGAAGCCGUUAAGUUUACCGCCUGGGGAGUACGGUCGCAAGACUGAAACUUAAAGGGAUUGGCGGGGGAAGCA